GAUUUGGUGAGCAUUUUGUUUAUAAUAUGGCGGUUUGGAAAGUGAAAGUAAUCGAUUGAUAUUACAUUUAAUAUGCGUAAUUACCUAUUGUGGAGUGCAUUGAAUAAGCAUGGUUUGAAGAGGAGCCAUGAGCAUCAAUCAUCAUGAUCGAGAAAAAAAACUGCAAGUUAUUUUCUAGAAAGCAUCCAGAAAAAAGUAUCCUGUGAACUAGGUUGAUUGAGCAAAAUGUGAUGACUUCUUUCUUAUUAACAAUCCAGGAUUGUUACGUGUGAUAGAACUGAUAGACGAACUUCAAAAAAGGCAUUAGGAUCAAGAUUAGCAAAAGCGAUUAAAUUGAAAUUGGAAUGCAAAAAGGUGUAUGUCAUGGCGGAACAAUCAUCAUCAUUUACUGGCAUCCAAAAGUGGCAAUUUGUUUAUUAUAGAGUCAACACUGGCACGCCUUAGUGAGAUUAUUCUCAAAACCAAAUAAUGAGGCAACCCAGCCGCCGAAAUACAAACUGGGUGAUUCAACAACGUGUUUGAGCAAUUCACCUUCAUUGUUGUAUCUUUCCAGAAAUUAUGGCUGAAGGAGACAAUUUCAAAAAUACCGUUGCUGGAGUUUUACCAGAAAAUAACCUGCACCUUUUUGGAAAAAAGAAACAGCCGUUACUAUAAUGCAGAUAAUAUGGGAAUGAUUCAUUGCAUUAUCACGUUUUUGAAGAUGCUUAAACUCAGAAGAACUACAAAAUGAUUCACAAAAACCAACAUCGAAGGCCUAUCAUCUGUAACGAUAAACGCUUGUGAUGAAACACAUAUCUUGGGUAAUCUAGCUGGAUAUAAAACGGCAACGAGUCACAUACUGCAUCGACGGCUUAAAAUAAAAACCAUUUACUGACGAAAUUAAAACCAAAUGAUUCAACGGCCGUACUGUGGCUAUCCACUAGAACGAUAAUCCGCAACUUUAUCCGGAUCAUCAACUAAUUUUAUAUGAAUGCUGUAAUCGAGUGAGUAACGAAUAUUUAUCGUAAUGGUUGUGUGACUAUAAUGGAUAUCGGAAACCGUUUCUGAUCCGCAAAGGAUCACUCGCGCAGCCCAAAGGAAAAUAAUAAUUGAGACACAUCAAACAUGUUGCAACACAAGGUUUUCAAUUUCAGCCCUACUAUUGUUCUGGUAAGUGUUUCUAAAUUUAUUUAGACAAGUCACCCAUACUUGGAUUUCUUGACAGAAAUAUUUCAAAAUAAUCAGACAGACAGGACAGAACAGAUUUCAAAUCCCUAAAUGUAUGCAAUGAAAGCUCUCAACCAUUUGCAGUGUUACUCUAAAUCAAGGUUAAAUAUUUUGUUUGGUGCACGUUCUGAAAAAAUGAGCA